CCUCUUGUAAGGGCCCCAAGCCGGAAUUCCUUUUAGGUGCCAGAGCAAAUACCCCGGAGGACGAGGCGCGGGGUAGAGCACGUUUUCAUAUAAAACGAAAGACUUUUAAGAUUAGCACUUUUUCUCACUUGAAGAGUAUUUUCCCUGGCAAAAGCAUCUAGCUGAACUGAUCAACUAUAGGGUAGAUUCAAACUGUGCGGUUUGUGAAUAUUUUUGGCCCCACAUACAGCACCUUCUUCAUUUUUUGGAGGACAGAAACAAACUAAUCUUGAUUAUUGCACCCACGCUCUUUUCGCCCUGCGUGUGUAGACAAAGACAUUAUUUAAUCUGACUACGGAAUUCUCUGUGCUUCUCUCCCAGGAGCUUUUGGACCAGGAUGGGUGAGGCCUCGAGCGCCUUCCUCUCUGGGCGCGCAGUUUCCCGUUCAGGGGAACGUUCUCGUCACUUUCCUCUUGACGGGAGGGGUGGUCAGGGUGCUAGCGCGCUCACGGCUUCAAGGAGCUGUGCAAGGGCGACUACUACGUUCCCAGUGUCCAAGCCUCAUGAAGCCGCUUUGUUAUGGGGCUUGAGAGACCUAGUUCAAAUCUUGCAUUUCAUUUUUGAGAGUUCCUACCAAUUGCCAGGGCCUGGGCUGGGCAAGCGGGGGGCGGUGGGGUGGGGUUCGGACAAGAGAGGUGGAUACUUAGAAGACUUUAUUGAGAAAUCUAAUUUUUGAAUAAAUUACAAGCCGGGCGUGCGGGGCGGGGCGGGGGGGGGGGGGGGGGGGAGGGCACACGGAGAAAAGCGCAGAGGUGAAUGUCCGCGGAGGAGUGCGGUUCAGUAACCGGAGAGACGCUGGCUGUUCCUGGCAAGGCAACGAGGGCCCUGUUCCACUUGUUUCGGAGCUCUCAACACUAUCUGGACCGAAAGCGACAGCCUCAAACACUUUUUAAGCACUUUAGACAAGCCUGAUGUCUACACCAUCAUUUUUGGAGAAGCUGUCAACUCUGACAAAUGAAGGAAAGCGGAAGGCAGGCGAGCCGCACCUGCGAAAAGGCCUGGAAUUCCAGGGCCAACCCCGCCCAUCUGUUCUUUUCUAAGAGUACUUGGACCCUGCUUGAUUGUUUGAGAUCCAGCGAUUGGAUUUUCUGAAAGUAAAUCUCAGAAAUGGAAAUUCACGCUCAUUACCUUGCACAAACAUUUUUAAUUUCUGAGUGGCCUGCAUUGAGCCUAGAGGCAAGAAUCCUUGCUGGAGCCAUAGUCUAGCCUGUAAAAGCCGAAAACCUUCCGCUGAGGGUAGAAAGGCAAUAAUUUAGACACACAGAGAAAAAUCCUAGCUGGAAGACAAGAAAAAACGCUCCAAGUGAAGUUAGAAAAUUUACCUUUGUAUAAAAAUCCUUUGAACAUUAUUGGACGGCAAAUUACCUGUAAAAGAUGUAUGAGAAAAUCAAGGAAAUGUGGAGACCAGAUGUUUGAUGCCAUCAAAGCAUCGGUGUCAAUUUUUAAGGUUACUUUCCCUCGGGCAAGAGGAUGACUUCAGGGGGAGACCAGACCCUCGCGGGUCUCCUAAGGCCCCACCCCGUGACUCAGUUCGCCUGCGUGCAGCCCACCUGCUCCGGGUUCUCCCUCCUGCGGCCGCCAGAAGGAUGCACCCUAUCGCAGUCAGAGGCAGCUGCGUAAAGCCAGACAUUGCUCCUUCCCACGGACAAUGGGCAACCCCCAAAGAAUUAUAGCCUCUGUGCCAGGACGCCCUGCUACCUGCAUUGCGGCGGGGGGGACAGGGCACUUCCACCGAGCUGCCCGAAGAACGUGCUAUGUUGUCUGUAAAUAAUUGCAAUUUUAUUUCAUUUAUGUCAAUGCCAUUUUGAAGAGAAGUGGUUAGAACAGACAUCCUUUCUCCAUUCCUGGUCUCAAAGAGAAAGCUUUCCAUAUUUCACCACUAAAUAUAGUGUUUGCUGCAGGUUUUCCAUAGAUUCUCCUUUUCCCCUCCUUAAGCAGGUUCCUUCGUAUUUCGUUGUCUUCUGUUGUUCCUGUUGAAAAGUCAGAUGUCAGUCUAAGUGUUGUUCCUUUGAAUGUAACGUGUGGUUAAGAUUUUUUUUUUUUUUUUGUCUUUGGUUUCCAUCAGUUUUAUGAUUUACCUAGAAAUAAUUUUCUUUAUAUUUAUCCUGCUUGGAGUUGAUAAGAGUUGAUAGAGUCUGUGGUUUGAUGUCUUCUGUCGGUUUUGGAAAAUUCUCAGUCUGUCUGUCUUCAGUUAUUGCUUCUCCCUGUCCUCUCCAUCAUCUCUUCUCCACUCCAGUUACACUUAUGUUGGAUCUUUACACUGUAUUUCACAUGUAUCUUAUCCACUUUUCUGUAUUUUUCAUCCUUGAGAAGAUUUAGUCUGGCAUUCAGACCAAAUUUGACUUUCCUUUUCUCUUCGGCAUAGUCCUUCUGGGGUCUCAUUUGAAAGUCUGGGAUAUUUACCUGAGCUCUUCCUCUCUGGCAGGCCCUGGAUUCUAAUUUUGUCAUCUUCACCACCACAAGACUUACGUUAGUUUUCCGGGAUUGCCAUAACAAAUUACCACAAACUUGGUGGCUAAAAACAACAGAAAUUUAUUUUCUCAGUUCUGGAGGCCAGCAAUCAAGGUGUCAUCAGGGCCAUGCUCCCUCUGAAGGCUUUAGAGAAGAAUUCUUCCUUGCGUCUUCCAUCUUCCAGUGACCCAGGACAUUCCUUGGCUUGUGGCUGCAUCACUCCAGUCUCUGCCUCCAUUGUCACAUGACCUUCCCCUGUGUGUCUCUGUGUCCUCAUCUCUUCUUACAAGGACACCAGUCACUGGAUUUAGGACACACUCUUAAUCAGGAUAAUUUCAUCUCAAGAUACUUAAUUAAUUACAUGUCCAAAUAAGAUCACUUGCUGAGGUUCUGGGCAGACACAAAUUUUGGGGUUCCACUGUUCAACCCACAACAAGACUCUUGAAAGUUCUGCUUCAAUUUUUGACCUCUUUAUUGCAAUUUUAUGAUUUGUUUUUCAGCUCUGUGCAGCAAAGACCUCAAGCAAAACCCACACAGAAUGUCAAGCUCGUAUCUCUGCAGGUCAUCUUUUUUUUUUUUUUUUUCCUGGGAUUUUUACCCCUCAAGUACUAACUACCUUGGCAAUCCUAAACUCAUUUUUUCUUCUUCCCAGUUUAAUGAGACUGAUGCAAACUUCAGGUUGCUGCUUUUCAUUCAUCCUCUGUUGCCUGUGCUUCAAACUGGCAAAUGUUCCAAGGGAAAAAGUAGUGGCCAGUGUGGGGUCCAGCUCAAUGCACUUCUCUCCACUCCAGGAUCUCUCCAGGAUUGCGUCCUGGGUGUCUCAGUUGUUCUCUGAUGCGUUCAGCAGCUGUCUUUCAUAUUUUAUCCAGCUUUUAUAGUUGCUCCUAGCACAGAGUUUGCUCUGACAUUUCUUCAAAAAUAGAAAUAGAAGUCAAAUAUGGCAUUUCUUUUGUUCUAGGCUCAUGUCUCCACACUGCCAGGGGAACCUCUCAGGUGCGUUGCUUUUGGAAACCCACUGAUUGAGGGAUGUGCCUCUUUUCCCCCCUCCUUUUUACUGUGUUUAGAGAGAGACACACCUGUAAGAUCUCCUUUAUUCUCUGUGUCUGUGGCUGCUCAGGGCAGGGAUGCUUCUGCAAUGUAAAGAAAUAAAUAGUGAGAAAGGACUUGGGAAAUAGUGGGACAUAUCAGAGCUACGUGGGGCUCUUGUCACCUUCUUCCUGUAUAGGAUCCUUAAGAAAAUCUUGCUAUCAGGCAUACAAAAGGGAAAACUGCAUGAAUAAGCCACAUGGUAUGACCUUUCCGUGCUGAGGUCUGAGCUACCAGAGCAGCGGAGGAGUUAUGUCCAUCAGGGUGUGUUUCUCAAAGUGAGCUUUUCGAGAAGGUGGUAUGGAUGGUACACAUUUUACCUGAUAUAAUCCUCAAAUCCUAUAGUAUAGGUAUUAUUACUACUCUAUUUUAUAGAUGAGGAAAGUGAGGCUCAGGGAAGUAGUUAUCCUGCAGCCUACCUCUGGGUAGAUGCUGUUUAACCUAAAGCCCUCUCUUACAUUGCCUUUCAUUUAUUCCUUUGGUAAAACCACAUUUUAAACUACAAAAUGCAAACUUCUAUGGAACUGAACUCAAUGAAAUGAAUGAGACUUUUUGUAAUUUCUAAUUUUUAUAUAAUUUCAAACUUACAGAAGUGUUGCAAGAAUAGAAUGAGGAACUCUCUUAUACCCCUUACCCAGAUUCACCAGUUGUUUACAUUUCCUCCCAUUGAUUAUUCAUUCUCUCUCUCUGAAUCAUUUGAAAACAAAUUGGAGUCAUCAUGCUGCUUCAACCCCCAAAUACUUUAGUGUGUAUUUUCCUAGAACAAGAAUAUUCUCAUACAUAACCUCAUAACAAUUAUUAAAAUUAAGAAAUUUACUGUGGUAACACUACUAUUGUUUAAUCCAGAGUUUAUAUUCACAUUUCAUCAAUUUUCCCAAUAAUGUUCUUUAUAACUUUUUCCCCUCAGAUCCAGGAUCCAAUCCAGGAUCACGUGUUCCAUGUAAUGGUCAUGUCUCAUUAGUUUCCUUUCAUCUGAAACGGUUCCUCUGCCUUUCUGUCCGAUCUUCCUCAUGAUUAGCUCCAGAUAGUGCUUCACUGCCAUUAGUGCCGUGUUUUCAUUGCAUCCUGCAAAAUGGUGCAUGACUUUCAUUGCCCCAUUGCUAUUGAUGUUACAUUUGAUCAUUUGAUUAAGGUGAUAUCUAUCAGGCUUCUCCACUGUAAAUUAAUCCUAUUCCUUUUUGUAAUUAAUAGGU